AAAUACAAAUAGGUGAAAAAGUAUACUAUAUACUAGACUCUAA
rnacentral:tRNA from 1 species